rnacentral:rRNA from 1 species
CGGAACGUACCCAGUAGCGGGGGAUAACUACUCGAAGGAGUAGCUAAUACCGCAUACGCCCUUCGGGGGAAAGGGGGGGAUCUUCGGACCUCCCACUAUUGGAGCGGCUGAUAUCGGAUUAGCUAGUUGGUGAGGUAAAGGCUCACCAAGGCGACGAUCCGUAGCUGGUUUGAGAGGACGACCAGCCACACUGGAACUGAGACACGGUCCAGACUCCUACGGGAGGCAGCAGUGGGGAAUUUUGGACAAUGGGGGAAACCCUGAUCCAGCCAUUCCGCGUGUGUGAAGAAGGCCUUCGGGUUGUAAAGCACUUUUGGCGGGAAAGAAACGGCGUCGACUAAUACUCGGCGUAACUGACGGUACCCGCAGAAUAAGCACCGGCUAACUACGUGCCAGCAGCCGCGGUAAUACGUAGGGUGCAAGCGUUAAUCGGAAUUACUGGGCGUAAAGCGUGCGCAGGCGGUUCGGAAAGAAAGAUGUGAAAUCCCAGGGCUCAACCUUGGAACUGCAUUUUUAACUACCGGACUAGAGUAUGUCAGAGGGGGGUGGAAUUCCACGU